UGCAUUUACUGUUUUCUUUUUGGCGCAAAAAGAAGUAGUUAGUGUUAAACAUAUGUUAGACAGAGCUACUUACCAAUGGCAAUUUGUCUGGAGAUCUGAUGUUUUUUGUACAUUGUUGUGGCUGAAAACCUGAAACGAUUUGUGUAACUGAUAGUCUGUUGCUUUACUUCUACACUGCUUAAUUAACCUGCGAUUAAUUUUGAUAUUUGAUUUUUGGCAAGAAUCAUCGGACUAUAGAUUAUUGAUCAUGCAUGAAACGUUUUAAAGGAAGCGAAUCUACAUUUGCAUGCUCGGUUUGAAGACUUGCCAGCUGGGUGAAGAAGCUUUCUGACAAACAUCCAAAUCACUCUAAUAGGCCCAAGUUGAGCAUAUGUUAGAUGGUCUGGAUGACAUGGAUGGUGCCGAGGAUGUCCCUUUUGAUGAGCUCAUAGGCAUGCAAGGCUUAGUAUUUCACUUGGUUGAGAAUGCAAUUACAAUAACCCUCCCAACUACAAUGUUGCACCUGACAACCUCCUACUCAACGAGGCCAAGCUAUCUGCAGGGGACCAUGCCCCUGGACGUUCCUAAGAGGUGUGCUGCUAGAUGACCUUCUUGCUGCUGAAACAACAAAUGCUUGUAACUGCAGCUCCUGCUAACAUGCAAGCUGGAUGAGCACCGGGCAUAUUUGCUACGAUGAUGAACAAACAUGCAAAUGACUGCAGAAACAACAGCUGAUGGAGCUGUGGUUCUUGGAAACCCAGUUGCUCCUCCUGUUAAUGGGGAUGUGUAUGCGGAUAUCAGCCCUGAGAAUGUUGUGGUCCAGUGACACCGAGAAGAUAGUGCAAAUGUGCUAAUUAUUUGGUUGAAGCAUCUGCUGCAGAGGUUGAGGUAAUUAGUGCUACUUUAGCUGCUAUAAAGGCCAGACAAGUUGGAGAUGAGAUGAGCAUUUUAUCAUAUUGCUUUGCCUGUAAUAACCAAAAUUGAUUGAUUUAGUUUCACACAACAUAGAUAAUUAUAUCGUCAGGUUCAAUUUUACUUAUGAAAGUUGAACAUUUCUUAUCUUGUUAGAUUUCCUCUUUGUAAGUUCUAGGACUUUAGUUAAUUGAAUAUCUUAAGGCAUGCAUGCCAGAACUUUCCAGAUGGUAACACUUGAUGCAAUUCUGUUCCUACUAUUCUUACCUGAUACUACCUGGACGACCUUCAAGCAUCAAUAACUUAAUCCUUUUAGGUUUUCUACUUCUUUCUCCAGUACAGACAUAAUAUUGUUUGGUGCUUCCCAAUAUUUGGACGUGAAAGUAGAGAAGCUUUACAUUUCAAGAAAUAUUAGAUUAUCAAUAAGAAAAUAUGGUCCAAGCCGGACUACUACUUCUAAAUGUUUUGUUUUUCACCAAAGGGGAUAUUUUACUUCUCCUAAUCAUGGUCGCCGUGUAACCCGAUGAUAGUAGGAUGGUAAAUAACUACAUCCUUUUUCGGCAUGGCAAAAAAAAAUACAUCCUACCCAUUUGAUGAUUUGCAACUGCAGCUGAACAAUAAUGAAAGAAAAAAGAGUACAUGCUUUACAUAAUGUACCUACAACAACAAUAGGUUGCCCCACCAAACAUCACCAGAGGACUGAGAAGGAAAACGACGCUUCCUCAGUCAGGUUCUAUUGGCCGUUGUAGCAUUAGCAUGAUGAAGAUUCUGGAACAGUGCAUGACAUGUCCAAGCCCAAGGUCUUCCCUUAGUGUGAAGCACCUGAGCUGGCGUCGAGCAAU